rnacentral:rRNA from 1 species
CAUGCAAGUCGAGCGAGAAGCUAACUUCGGUUGGUGGACAGCGGCGCACGGGUGAGUAACGCGUGGGAAUUUACCUUUCGGCGGGGGACAACAGUUGGAAACGACUGCUAAUACCGCAUACGCCCUACGGGGGAAAGAUUUAUCACCGAAAGAUAGGCCCGCGUUAGAUUAGGUAGUUGGUAGGGUCAAAGCCUACCAAGCCGACGAUCUAUAGCUGGUUUGAGAGAACGAUCAGCAACACUGGAACUGAGACACGGUCCAGACUCCUACGGGAGGCAGCAGUGGGGAAUCUUGCACAAUGGGCGAAAGCCUGAUGCAGCCAUGCCGCGUGAGUGAGAAGGCCUUCGGGUUGUAAAACUCUUUUAGAUGUGAAGAUGAUGACGGUAACAUCAGAAAAAGCACCGGCUAACUUCGUGCCAGCAGCCGCGGUAAUACGAAGGGUGCUAGCGUUGUUCGGAAUUACUGGGCGUAAAGAGCGUGUAGGCGGCUUAGCAAGUUAGAGGUGAAAUCCCAGGGCUCAACCCUGGAACUGCCUUUGAUACUGCUAAGCUUGAGAUCGUGAGGGGAUAGCGGAAUACCCAGUGUAGAGGUGAAAUUCGU